rnacentral:tRNA from 3 species
CGGAAUAUAGCGCAGUUUGGUAGCGUGCCAUCUUGGGGUGGUGGAGGUCGUAGGUUCAAAUCCUGCUAUUCCGA